AGCCGGUGUUCUCUACCUGGGAGUGUGUCCAACCCUGUGGUUUAAUGAGCCUCAGGUCUCCCAGGGAGCAAGAAGCAGUGCGCUGGCCAAGCCUCACUCACCCUUGCCUCUGCCUUUCUUGAUUCCUGAGUCCUCUGGGACUCUCCCUUAUCCAGGUUGCCCCUCCCCCGAUGUUCCCCGGGGAGCUGGGGGACUAAGGAACCCGCCGCUGUACAAGCGGGAGCUAUUGUUCCACAAUCUGGUUUUGUCCUCAUCUUGUUGGCAGGCGGCAGGAGAGGAGCGAAAGGUUAAUGAGGCGCUGUGAACGGGGACUGCAGCGGGCGGGCGCCGGCUUGGUGACAGGGAGCUAAUUAGGAGCAGUUUAACAGGAGGAAAAAGUGAAAUCUCCUCUUCACCAACUGUCAAUAAUUAGCCGAUUUGGUGAGGUUGAAAUGUGUCCACAGGAGAAGGCGGGGCUUGUCUGGGGACACUGGUGUGUGUGUGUCUGUGUGUGUGUGUGUGUGUGUGUGUGUGUGUGUAGGGGGGACUGAGGCUAAUCUCCACCUCUAGGUGUGUAUCAGGGGUGGGGGGUACAGGCCAUCACGGGCCAUUUCUCCUGCCCCCUGGUUGGCUUUUCCCAGUUUGAAUCCUAUAUGUCCCCUGUUGAAACCUCAGCUGAAAGCAAGUGUUAGGACUAAGUUUCUUCCAGUGUCUGCCCUGUAGGAACCUGGAAGUGAAAAUAAGAGGCAGGUGCUCGGAUCAGGAGAAGGAUGGCAGCCACGCUACCCGAAGUCUCACGCUGAUCCUUAGGCGCCUGCCUUUCCCGCAGCGCUAGUGUGCCCUCCGAGUAGUAGCUAAAUGGUGCCAAGAGGAGGCUGGGCAGGGCCCUUCGCCUGCUGUGCGCCUUGAGCCUGCCUUCCUCAGAGUCCCCUGGGCCCUGUCCUCCCAGCUACGCUAAGGCUGGGCUGGAGAGGAGGAUCAGACCCUGAGCGGUUCAACUGUGGCUGGAAGGAUGCUGCAGAGGCCUCCUGGGGCCCAGGAGUCAUGUUCACCAGCCAGAAGGUUGCUUCCUGUUGGGCCUGUUUGUGCUGUCUGUUGUCUUGUCUUUUGUUGGCCCCUGGCCUUUGGCCUUUUCUGACCCCUUAGCAGAUGGAUGCCUCCUCCCCAGACUCCAGCUUCUGCUGAACACCUUAGCUGGAAAAGGCAUCAAUCAGCCCUGUCAAUCUCCCCCACCCCCACCCCCGCCCUCGCCCUAACCACUCCCAGCUCAGCUCUAGAAGGCCAUCAGGGCCUGAGGCAUGCUGAGAGGAAGGCUGAAGCCCUCUUCUGGUCCUUAGCAUUAUCUGCAAUAACCCCUAGGGACACAUUCCAUCCCUACUGAGACCCUACUCCUCACCUCUUCUUCUCCCUCUGUAGUUUUCAGAGCUAAGAAACAAGAUGUACCCCACCCCAGAGGCAAGAUCAUGCCCUUCCCCUGGGUACUGGAACCACUCUCUGCCCUCAUCAGCCCUGCAGAAAGUGGUAGCAUUGAUGGAGCAGCUUGGCAGCUGUGAUAAACCCUCCCCACUUUGUCUCCCUUUCUCUGAGAACAAAUUUCAGGGAAGAGUUAUGAAUCUUCUAGAAUGCACCGUCCCUGGGACAUUCUCUCUGAUAUUCAGGAUCUAUCCUACCUCAAACAUGUAAGCUCUGGUCCUAUCGCCCACCUUAGGACAAGACCUCUCCCUCCCUCCACGUAAGGCUGAGAACCCAACUCUUUUAGCAGCACUGGGUACAGACCUAACUCUUUUAGGCUUGCCCCGACUCUGUUGGCUCCUGUUCUUCAAGGCAAGGCGCAGUGUCUGGUGCUGUGUCCCUCCUGAGUCCACAGCACCUUUCAUUGUCCCUAGAAAAGCAGCCUCUUCCCCUGCAGGCUCACAUCCAUCUUUGCUAUGAGAUGUUUGUUUGGGGUUUUUCUCGUUUGCUGGUUUUAAUCAAUCCCCACUGAAAGCUGAAGCAGGCUAUUUUUGCUGUCAGAAAUCUGCUGCCUCCCCGCCCGCUGCUUUCUUGGAAUUUGCCCACAGGACCCCCCAGGAGGGACAAACGGGGAUGGCAAAGCCACUUGGAUCCCAGGAACGCCAACGCCACCUGUCAUAUUGCCUGUUCCCCACACCCCCCCAUCCUAACCCAUGCGUGCACACAGGCCCGCACACGUGCAUACACACCAGUGUGCACUCAUUCUCAACGUUAGGCUUCAGAAAAGCCACCUCCCAACUUGUCUCUUUGAGGUCUCCCUGCCAGAACCUUCUAGAAUACCUCACUGAUUUCAAGAGUGGAGGCCUAGCUGGGCAAAACUUCCACUGAGUGAAAGGCAGUAAGUGAAAAGUGUUUGGCGCAUGCCUGAACAGGAGCCCAGCCCUGUCAGGGGGCUUAUCGGCUGGGCAGGAUGGCCACAACCUCACCUUUUCUCUGUAGCAUCACGUGAGUUCCUACUUCCUCCUAGGACUCACCCACCCAUUUCUAAAUGUAAUCUUUGUCCU
rnacentral:lncRNA from 1 species